rnacentral:rRNA from 1 species
GCAAGUCGAACGAUGAAGCCUUCGGGUGGAUUAGUGGCGAACGGGUGAGUAACACGUGGGCAAUCUGCCCUGCACUCUGGGACAAGCCCUGGAAACGGGGUCUAAUACCGGAUAAUACUGUGCCCCUCAUGGGGGAUGGUUGAAAGCUCCGGCGGUGCAGGAUGAGCCCGCGGCCUAUCAGCUUGUUGGUGGGGUAAUGGCCUACCAAGGCGACGACGGGUAGCCGGCCUGAGAGGGCGACCGGCCACACUGGGACUGAGACACGGCCCAGACUCCUACGGGAGGCAGCAGUGGGGAAUAUUGCACAAUGGGCGAAAGCCUGAUGCAGCGACGCCGCGUGAGGGAUGACGGCCUUCGGGUUGUAAACCUCUUUCAGCAGGGAAGAAGCGAAAGUGACGGUACCUGCAGAAGAAGCGCCGGCUAACUACGUGCCAGCAGCCGCGGUAAUACGUAGGGCGCAAGCGUUGUCCGGAAUUAUUGGGCGUAAAGAGCUCGUAGGCGGUCUGUCACGUCGGGUGUGAAAGCCCGGGGCUUAACCCCGGGUCUGCAUUCGAUACGGGCAGACUAGAGUGUGGUAGGGGAGAUCGGAAUUCCUGGUGUAGCGGUGAAAUGCGCAGAUAUCAGGAGGAACACCGGUGGCGAAGGCGGAUCUCUGGGCCAUUACUGACGCUGAGGAGCGAAAGCGUGGGGAGCGAACAGGAUUAGAUACCCUGGUAGUCCACGCCGUAAACGUUGGGAACUAGGUGUUGGCGACAUUCCACGUCGUCGGUGCCGCAGCUAACGCAUUAAGUUCCCCGCCUGGGGAGUACGGCCGCAAGG